rnacentral:rRNA from 1 species
GAUGAACGCUAGCGGCAGGCUUAACACAUGCAAGUCGAGGGGUAUAGAGAGCUUGCUUUCUAGAGACCGGCGCACGGGUGCGUAACGCGUAUGCAAUCUACCUUCACAAAGGGAUAGCCCAGAGAAAUUUGGAUUAAUACCUUAUAGUAUUACAGAAUGGCAUCAUUUUGUAAUUAAAGAUUUAUCGGUGAAAGAUGAGCAUGCGUCCCAUUAGUUAGUUGGUAAGGUAACGGCUUACCAAGACUACGAUGGGUAGGGGUCCUGAGAGGGAGAUCCCCCACACUGGUACUGAGACACGGACCAGACUCCUACGGGAGGCAGCAGUGAGGAAUAUUGGACAAUGGGCGCAAGCCUGAUCCAGCCAUGCCGCGUGCAGGAUGACGGUCCUAUGGAUUGUAAACUGCUUUUAUACAGGAAGAAACCCUCCGACGUGUCGGAGCUUGACGGUACUGUAAGAAUAAGGAUCGGCUAACUCCGUG